rnacentral:rRNA from 1 species
GACGAACGCUGGCGGCGUGCUUAACACAUGCAAGUCGAACGAAGUGGCGAACGGGUGAGUAACGCGUAAUCAACCUGCCCUUCAGAGGGGGACCACCGUUGGAAACGACUUCUAAUCCCGCAUACUGAAGGAGGGGCUUGCGGCUGAUUAGCUCGUGGGAGGGGUAACGGCCCACCAAGGCGAUGAUCAGUAGCCGGUCUGAGAGGAGGAACGGCACACUCGGGACUGGGACACGGCCCAUAAUCCUACGGGAUGCAGCAGUGGGGAAUCGUCCGCAAUGGAGGAAAGUCUGAAGGAGCAACGCCGCGGUAGGGAUGACGGCCUUCGGGUUGUAAAGAUCUGUUAAUCGGGACGCGGUACCGGAAUAGAAAGCCACGGCUAACUACGUGCCAGCAGCCGCGGUAAUAC